rnacentral:rRNA from 1 species
UUGUCUCUGCCUUAUAGAAAAAAAAUUCUAUGAAAGUAAAAAAGCUUUCUAAAAUAAAGGGACGACAAGACCCUAAAAUCUUUUUUAAUUAUAAUCUGACAGACUAAAUAAUAAAUCUUAAUUAAAAAUUAUUGGGGCGAUAAAUACUUUAAACACUCGAAAUCAAACCGCACUGAGCGAUUUUAUUUAUCCUUUUAAGAAGAUAAAAAGAUACUUUAGGGAUAACAGCAUAAUUUUUCUUAAGAGUUCUAAUCGACAGAAAAGUUUAUGACCUCGAUGUUGAAUUGAAAUUACUAUAUUAAGCAGCCUUAUAAAAAGUAAGUCUGUUCGACUUUUAAAAUUUCACGUGAUCUGAGUUCAAACCGAA